UACAGAGGUCCCGAGCGUUGUUCGGAUUCACUGGGCGUAAAGGGUGCGUAGGUGGCAUUGUAAGUUUGAUGUGAAAGCUCAGGGCUUAACCCUGAAAUGGCAUUGAAUACUGCGGUGCUGGAGGUUUGGAGGGGGGACUGGAAUUCUUGGUGUAGCAGUGAAAUGCGUAGAUAUCAAGAGGAACACCAGUGGCGAAGGCGAGUCCCUGGACAACACCUGACACUGAGGUACGAAAGCCGGGGGAGCAAACAGG
rnacentral:rRNA from 1 species